GACUGUAACACUGAUUAAAAUAUUUAAGAAAAAGUACCUUCAAAGGAAAGACAGAUGUUUCAUUUUGAAUAUCUCUAUCUUUUUUGUUUCCAAGUCGCUUUAUCCUUUCAAGACACUUUGGUUUCUGUUCAUUGUGUUUUAUGAUUUUUAUCAGUCUUUACACUGUUCUAUAAAUGCUGUGAAAUGAAUACAAUACAGUACAAUAAUGACUAAAGUCUCCUCACUCUUCAGUCUGAAAUCAAGUGUUUACCUCCAUUCCCCAGAGAUAAUCAUAGUUACCAGUUAUUUAUUUUACAUGGAUUUGCAUAUAUUAGGGAUUCUGGACUUUUGGUUUCCAGUCCAACUUACAAGGAGCUGAGAAGUAACCACUGGAUCCUAAAAAAUAAAUUGAAAAAAUCAAACCCUGCCUCAAAAAUUGGAAAGAUGGACAGGCAGAUACAGACAAUUACAAUUGACUGGAAAAGAGUCCCAUGAGCAGAAACCUCUAAGGGAACCACAGUUGGUGUAGGAAAACCUGAAUAGCAAUUAUAAAUUGCUGGAGGCUGGAUGUGGACAAGUCUGAGAGUUAAACUCAAGGGGAGUGAUCCAGUCACAGCAGGACCCUCACACUUGUGAGUUUUACCUUUAAGGGUGUGGCCAAGUUCUGACCAUGAAGAUGAGAGAAAAAUCUUCUUGUGCUUCAGGCAGGGAAAAGGGAAAAUAAGCCAAUUUGGAAUGAGUCACAGCAUUCUGUUCUUCCUGUCUUCAGGAGAAACUGUUUUGUGGAAGCCUAACCUACCUAGGGAAAGGGAAAUGCUUAAUUCCUUCUAGCCUCCCUGUCCCAUUUAAGAGGGAUGGGGGAACUGAGAACUACUGAUAAAGUUCAUAGUCCAGGGGCACGGGCUCACGAAAAGGCCGACACCUAAUCAUUUGACUAUAAAAUGCUGUUGCUCCCUCCAUACCUUACCACCACAUCACUUAAUGGCCUGUUUACUGCGUUUCCUUUUAGCCAGUACAUCUUGUCUGAAUUUCAACAAAAAAUUACACAGCAUAUGAGAAAGCAAGAAAACACAAUUUGAAGAGACUAAACAAGCAUCAAAAUCAGAAUCAGAUAUAGAAGGAAUGUUCGGAUUAAUCAGAUUAGGAAUGUAAAAAGUAAAACCUAUUAUAAUAUGCUAAGGGCAUUAAUGUGAAAAGUAGAUGACGUGCAAAAAGAGAUGGAAAAGGGUAAGCAGAGAGAUGCAAAUUAUAUGAAUGAAUUGAAAGGAAGGGUUAGAGAUCAAAGCACUGCAACAGAAAUGUAGAAUGUUUCUUGUAGGCUCAGUAGUAGACUGGACAUGGCUGAGGAUAGAAUCUCUGAGCUUGCAGAUAUAGGAAUGGAAAAUUUCAAAACUGAAAAACGACUGACAAAAACAAUAUUCAAGAACUGUGGGACAGCUGUAAAAAGUUAAUAUAUGUGUAAUGGGAAUCUAAGAAGAAAACUGAAAGAAGCAAUAUUUGAAGCAAUAAUGACUGAGAAUUUUCCCCAAUACUGUCAGACACCAAACCACAGAUCCAGGUAGCUCAGAGAAAACUAAGUGGGAUUAAAAAAAAAAACAAACGAAAAACAAAAAUAUAAAUUACUUCUGACUUUUCCUCAGGAAAGAUGCAGUUGAAGAGUAGAGAAUAUUGAAAGUGUUGAGAGAAGAAAAACAAUCAUCAACCUAUAUUAGGGUUUCUUAAGUUCACUACCAUUGAUAUUUUGGACCAGAUAAUUUUUUGUUAUUGGAGGCUGUCUGGUACAUUGUAGUGUGUUUAGUAACUUCCUUGCCUAUUAGAAGCCAAUAUUAAAUCCCAGUUGCGACACUCAAAAAUGUGGACAAAUGUCCCCAGGGGAAAAACUGCCCCUAGUUGAGGACCAUUGAUAUUUACACAUCUGAAUCUAUAGAAAAUAUAUAGUGAGUGUAUUUGUCUGUUCUUGUGCUACUAAUAAAGACAUACCCAAGACUGGGUAACUUAUAAAGGAAAGAGGUUUAGUGGACUCACAGUUCCACAUGGCUGGGGAGGCCUCAUAAUCAUGGCAGGAGAUGAAGGAAGGGACAUAUUACAUGGUGGCAGGCAAGAGAGUUUGUGCAGGGGAACUCCCAUCUAUAAAACCAUCAGAUCUCAUGAGAUUUAUUCAUGCCCAUGAGAAAAGUAAGGAGGAAACCCCCCAUGAUUCAAUUAUGUCCACCCGCCCAAAUCUCAUGUCCUCACAUUUCAAAACCAAUAAUGACUUCCCAACAGUCCCGUAAAGUCUUAAUUCCUUUCACAAUUAAUUCAAAUGUCUGCAGUCCAAAGUUUCAACUGAGACAAGGCAAAUCUCUUCUCCCUAUGAGCCUGUAAAAUCAAAAGUAAGUUAGUUACUUCCUAGACACAAUGAGGGUACAGGCAUUGAGUAAAUAUACUCCUCCCAAAUGGGAGGAAUUGGCCAAAAUAAAGGGGCUAUAUAGGCCCCUUGAAAGUCUGAAAUCCAAUGGGGUAGUCAUUAAACCUUAAAGUUUCAAAAUAAUCUCCUUUGACUUCAUGUCUUACAUUCAAGUCAUGCUGAUGCAAGAGGUGGAUUCCCAUGGUCUUGGAUAGCUCUGCUCCAUGUUUUUGCAGUGUAUAGCCUCCCUCCCAGCUGCUUUCUUGGGCUGGCAUUGAAUGUCUGUGGCUAUUUCAGGCACAUGGUGCAAGCUGUCAGUGGAUCAACCAUUCUGAGGUCUGGAGAACAUUGGCUCUCUUUGCACAUUUCCACUAGGCAGUGCCCCAGUGGGGACUCUGUGUGGGGGCUACAACCCCACAUUUCCCUUCUGCACUGCCAUAGCAGAGGUUCUCCAUGAGAGGUUCUCCCUGCUCCUGUAGCAAACUUCUGCCUGGACAUCCAAACAUUUCCAUACAUCCUCUGAAAUCUAGGGUGGAGGUUCCCAAACUUCAAUUCUUGACUUCUGUGCCUUGCAGGCUCAACACCAUGUGGAAGCUGCCAAGACUUGGGGCUUUCACCCUCUGAAAUAACUGCCUGAGCCAUACCUUGGCCUCUUUUAGCCAUGGCUGGAGCUGCUGGGAUGCAGGGAACCAAGUCCCUGGGCUGUACACAGCAAGGUGGCCUUGGGCCUGCCACAUGAAACCAUUUUUAGCUCCUAGGCCUCUGGGCCUAUGAUAGGUGGGGCUGCUGUGAAUGUCUCUUACAUGCUCUGGAGACAUUUUCCCUGUUGUCUUGGUGAUUAACAUUCCACUCCUUGUUACUUCCACAAAUUUCUGCAGCAGGCUUGAAUUUCUCCCCAGAAAAUGGGUUUUUUCUUUUCUAUUGCAUCAUCAGGCUGCAAAUUUUUCAAACUUUUAUGCUCUGCUUUCUCUUGAAUGCUUUGCUGCUUAGAAAUUUCUUCUACCAGAUACCUUAAAUCAUCACUCUCAAGUUCAAAGUUCCACAGAUUUCUAUGGCAGGGACAAAAUGCCACCAGUCUCUUUGCAUAGCAAGAGUAACCUUACUCCAAUUCCCAAAAAAGUUCCUCAUCUCUGAGUCACCUUGGCCUGGGAUUUAUUGUCCCUGUCACUAUCAGCAUUUUGGACAAAACCAUUCAAGAAGUUUCUAGGACAUUCCAAACUUUCCCACAUCUUUCUGUCUUCUGAGUGCUGCAAGUAUCUUGGAAGUUUUGAAAUUUUCCACAUUUUCCUGUCUUCUUCUGAGCCCUGCAAAUUGUUCCAACCUCUGCCUGUUACACAGUUCCGAAGUUACUUCCACAUUUUCUGAUAUCUUUACAGUAGCACCCCAGUUUCUGCAAUAUCAGUUUACUGUAUUAGUCCGUUCUCAUGAUACUAAUGAAGACAUACUUCAGACUGGUUAAUUCAUAAAGAAAAGACAUUUAAUGGACUCACAGUCCACAUGGCUCAGGAAGCCUCAUAAUCAUGGCAGAAGGCAGAGGAGAGGAAAAGACACAUCUUACACGGCAGCAGGCAAGAGAGCUUGUGCAGGGGAACUUCCAUUUAUAAAACCAUCAGAUCUCAUGAGAAUAAUUCACUACCAGGAGAACAGUAUGAGGAAAAUAGUCCCCAUGAUUCAAUUAACUCCACCUGGCCCCAUCAUUGAAAAGUGGAGAUUAUUACAAUUCAAUGUGAGAUUUGGGUGAGAAUACAGCCAAGCCAUAUCAGUAAAAAAAAUUCUGUUAAACAGAAAUGUGGAAAAUAGCUCAUUCAAUUCCAUUCCAAUAACCUUGCAAUAUUCCUCACUGCAUGUUAGUAAAUGGCAAGCUAAAAGCCAAAUUUCCAAGACUUCAUUACAGUUUAGAUUAUUAUCUAGAUUAAAACAUCCCAAAAUUACCAGCAUUGGAGUUCAAAGGCAAAAAAACAAAAAACAAAACAAAAAAAACAAAGCAAAGAUAAGCUCCCGCUAGUAAGCAUGGUCUGUAUGAGCUGUAUCAGAAUCCAAAUUCAAGAACCUAGUUUCAUGGCUGUGCAGAGAGAUGGGGAAAAUAUUUUCUUGGACCAGUUCAUGGCAGACAGUGUGGUCCUGGAGUCAGCAAUAAUGAUGGUGGUUUCAAAAGUCUGUAGUAUCCCAAACAUCACAGACUUAGCAUCUUCCUCAGUGGUCUUGUUCAGCAGUGUUGCUCAGGGAGCUCAUCAAGAGCUGCUUAUCUAGCCUUUUCUGUGACUCUGUAAGCCACAAAAUAAUUAAUAAUGUAUAUUCAAUCCUCCUUCUACUGAUUCCACUUAGAGGGCAUCUGAUGGUCAGCAUGGAAACAGGCUAAUGCUCUGCUGCCUUCUAAAAAUUUAAUAAUGAAAACAAAGAUUUUCAAAUUGCAUAUUUACCAUUACAAAGAGAACAGGAGAGGAAAAUAUAGUGGAUAAAAGAUAUGAACAAAUUUUUAAUGGAAUGUGGAUGAGGCAUUAGCACAUUCAGGAAGCUGAUUGUCAAGUGCCUGCAGAGGACAGUGCAAAUGAAUAGCAAGAGUAUUAAUAAACUGCAGAACUUUGAAAAGAUUCAGAAAUAAGAGGCACUGAUGUUAUGAGGUGCGCUGUAUGUGUGGAAGUGGAGACUGUACAUUACAUGUGGGGUUAAAAUCAGAAGACUUGAUCAAAAGUAUGAGCCGGGCGCGGUGGCUCACGCCUGUAAUCCCAACACUUUGGGAGGCCAAGGUGGGUGGAUUACGAGGUCAGGAGAUCAAGACCAUCCUGGCUAACAUGGUGAAACCCCAUCUCUACCAAAAAUACAAAAAAUUAGCCGGGUGCGAUGGCACUCACCUGUAGUCCCAGCUAGCCAGGAGGCUGAGGCAGGAGAAUCGCUUGAACCUAGAAGGCGGAGAUUGCAGUGAGCCGAGAUCGCACCACUGCACUCCAGCCUGGGUGGCAGAGCAAGACUCUAUCUCAAAAACAAAAAACAAAAGUAUGCUGUGAAAUAGAUACAUCCCCAGUUUGCUUCCUCAUUCUAUGCAUCCCAGUAAGUGUUCCCAAACAUAGGUUGUUUACCAAGGAACCGAGAAAAUUGAAUCAAAGACCCUGGCCACUGGCCACUUCAGAAUGAGAGAGAGCUGCACGCAAAAAAAAAAAAAAAAAAAAAAAAACCAAAAAAAAAAAAAAAAAAACAAACAUUAAGUGAAAUUCAGGUUAUGGGAUGGUAGGACUUCCAACCCCCUGGAACACGAUUAAAAUUCUAGAAUCCUGGCACCCAAAUGUAUACACUCCAAGCAUGAGAUAGGUGGAUCCUGCUAUGAAGACACUGGAUAAACCUAGUAGGAAAGAUUCAUAUAUGCUCUUAUUUAGAAGUCCCUCAAGUAAAUAGAUGGGUCUGCCAUCUGCCUAUUUGAUCUUUCUGCAUAGAAAGCCACCAGUUGACAAUCUUCUUUCCCCAACCAACACAGAGCUUCUAUCAGUAUAUUAGUGUCCUGUACUUACAUAUGAAAUGUAACAUAAAAUGCAACAUUCAUGUCCAUGUGUAUGUGGUGGGGAAGGAAGAUUUGUGGGUAUCCAGCAUUUUGAAAGACGGAGACAAAAACAAUGAGAGGAAAAAAUAGUAAAACUAGGAAAUUUUAUUAUAUCAAAAUAUAUCAUCUAAAUAUGUGAGGGGAGAGAGAGAGAGAGAGCGCCCAGAGCCUGCAUCUCCAUUUCUAGACUGGACUCCAUGACCCAGUGCUCUAGGACUCCCUGGCCUAAUGACUGGGAGCCAGCCUUCAUAUUCUGCUGCUUUUCUUCUCUGGGUUGUUCUCCAAAGGCAAACCAUGUCACAAUAGUGGUAGUUACUUGCUGAUGGUGGAGGUACUGUGUGCAAGGAGCUUGAGUAGGUUGUACUGAAUCACGAUGGUAUGCCUAGGGGGAAUACCUAGGCAUACAUGUGCUGUGCCCUAGAUGAAUUCAAGAUAGGAAGAGAGAAAUGGAUUUGGCUAAGAAUCUGGAGCUAGUUGUUUAUUCUCUUAGCUCAGGCACUGCAAUUUAACGUUAGCCAUGGGGCCUGUAUUUACUGCUAAUAAACCUCAUGUAACUGAAUGUGUGACCCACGGCAAAUCUUUUAAGCUCCAUGGACCUCAGUGCUUUCAUCUGUAAAAAUGAAGAGCUUGAACUUGAUCUCAGAAGAUGCUUCAAGCACUAACAUUUUAUUAUUUUUUUCAAUUCUGUUGAUGCUUUAUCUUUUGUACCCCCAUAACAUAUAGCUAUUUGCAGGGUCACAGAAACAAUAAUUUUACAGAAUGUUUCCGAUUUAUUUCCGAAAGACAUUGUUUAAACACACAUAAAGCAGCAGAUUUAAAGUCACUCCUGUGCCUUUUAUUUUUCUACCCCCUUUAGAAGCCUUUACCUAGGUGAGCAAUAGAGCCCCCAUUGACCAGAGGGGCAUCUGGCAGUGACUCAGCAUUCUCUGGUUCAUUUUUUUUCUUAGAUGAAGUUAAGGUGCCAAAUCUAAAACAAUUUUCCUAUGCGAGAUUUAGCAUGGAAGGAAUUAUUGAAACCACAGGGUGGAAAUUAAUGAUUAGCUUGAGAUGCCAUUAGCAUACCAGCAGGAGAAAAGACUAAAUGAGCUAUGAUCUGAAGUAAAAUAUGUCAUCCUGGAAAUUGCAAGUGAUAUGAUGGAGAAACAAUGCUGGGUAAUAGGGAGGAGAAGAAAUGAGCUAUUAGACUGAGAGGCAAGGAGACAAGCAUUUAAAUUAAGAGGACCAGACAAGGAGACAGCUUGAGUUAACGUGCAAGAUCCCAGACUAAAAGACACUGUGGUUAGUGAUUGCAGACAGGAAACAAUCCAUCAACUGAGGGAGAAUGCAGCACUAAGGACACUAGGCAAGGAAUAUGAUACAAAAGUACUUUCCUACUAGGAUAAAAUAAGCAAACAUAAAAUUCAUUCUGAGCACUUCCUUCCUUAAGCAAUAUUAUUAAGGGCUGCCAAAAGCAAAGUCUCACUACUCAGAAAAUUACUGAGAAAAAAUGAGGUAAGGAAAUAUGAAAGAACUGAGACUAAUGGAUAAAAGUUAAGGAUAAUCUAGAAAAAAGUGAAAGCCAAUCUUCAUCAUAUAUAUACACAAUUUAUGUUUAUGUAUUUAUAGAGAACUAACAAACUUGCACUGAGCAACCUUUUUUAAAAAUCUACCCAGGCUUAUGGAUUCAGCCAGAUCACCUCAUCAAGAACUGAUUCCUUUCUAUGAUUUUUUUUUUGCCGGGAAAAAUGUGAGUUUUGUUGUGUAUAUACCAUUGUUACUUUCACCGUGAUAUGCAAGCUUUGACUAUAGCAUAUCGUUAUACCCUAUGUGUCUGACCCCAGGAGACUUGGGUGGGGAAGAGGAAGAAAUAUUUUAAGCUUGCAGCUAAGCCAGAGGAAAUGGAUAUUAGAUUUUUCAAUUUUGUGUGUUUGAGAAUAGUUAAUAAAACUAAGAAAUUAGAUCAGUCUCUUUGGGAGCAUUUUUUUAAACUAUGAAAUACAAAGCUAUGGGUAUGGAUACCGAACCAACAUUUCUGAAUCCCACGAAUUUCCAGGUUUAAAGUUGGGUUACAGAUCACAGCAAAUUCUAUUUAAUUUACACCAAUCCUAAACCCAAAAAAUCAGAUUUGCAAAUCUCAGAACCUCUGUAUCCAGACAUUAAAUAUUUUUGCUGGUUGCUUGAAAAUUGAGACUACUUAAUUUUAUUCCUAGCUUUUUUAUAUUAAGCAACAAAGAAUUAAAGGUUAUCAAAAUAAUCAUCAAUAUAAUUUUUUAAAGCUAAGCCUUAAUUUGUCAUUAGUAGUUUCAAUCUGUUUUAUUCAUAAACAGGCUUUUUGUUUUUAAGUUCUAUUUUCAAAAAUCAGGGCUACUCAUCAGAGAUGAGUGGGAAACAGUCUGUUUCCUUAUGUAGUCACACAUUGAUAUGGGAAUCAACCUUUUGCAAUGAGUAAGUUCAGUGAGAAGUAUGCUGCACUAUUAAUGCAUAUCAGAAACAGUGAGGAAGCUAAGAUGACACCAUCAGCUUUUUUGGGUGAUAAAAUAAUUCUUCGCAAAGAAGAUGCCUGAGCUAGAACCUGGAGGAUAAGCAAUGUUUGCCAAUUUGUCAAACUGUAGGUCUGUUAGGGCUGACACCAGCAUCUACAUGGGCUUGUUAGUUUAAAACAGUCUGGCCAGUGGAACUAUAAAUGUUUCGAUAUGGUUGGAGCUUAGACUUGAGGAAGACAGCUAAUGAGCAGUAGGUAGGGGCUUAACCAAUAUUAGAAUAAUGAAACAACACAAAGAUAUAAUAAAAUUACCUACUUGCCUGAAUGUACCACCAGUUUAACAAGUCAGAUCUUAUUUUAUUACAAGAGCAUGUGAGCUGCUUUAUUCUACCUGAUUUGGUAUUGGUGAUCAAUGAUCCUAUACAUUGCUGUAAAGUAAGUCAAAUUUGUUAUCACAGACUAGUUUAAUAUAUUGAUUUGCUUUUUUACCAGUUCAGCUAGUCCACAGAAUGUUUCAGAAAGGGCAACUAAAAUAAGUCCUAUUUUAU
rnacentral:lncRNA from 10 species